rnacentral:rRNA from 1 species
UAGCGUAGGGUGCGAGCGUUAAUCGGAAUUACUGGGCGUAAAGGGUGUGCAGGCGGUUUGCAAGAUGGAUGUGAAGCCCGGCUUAACCUGGGAAAGCCAUACAUGACUGCAAGACUAGAGUGCGUCAGAGGGGGGUGGAAUUCCAAGUGUAGCAGUGGAAAUGACGUAGAUAUUUGGAAGAACACCGAUGGCGAAGGCAGCCCCCUGGGACGCAAGCUGACGCUCAUACACGAAAGCGUGGGGAAGCAAACAGGGAUUAGAAACCCGUUGUAAGA